rnacentral:rRNA from 1 species
GGUGAGUAACGCGUGGGAACGUGCCUUCUGGUUCGGAAUAACCCUGGGAAACUAGGGCUAAUACCGGAUACGCCCUUUUGGGGAAAGGUUUACUGCCGGAAGAUCGGCCCGCGUCUGAUUAGCUAGUUGGUGGGGUAACGGCCUACCAAGGCGACGAUCAGUAGCUGGUCUGAGAGGAUGAUCAGCCACACUGGGACUGAGACACGGCCCAGACUCCUACGGGAGGCAGCAGUGGGGAAUAUUGGACAAUGGGCGCAAGCCUGAUCCAGCCAUGCCGCGUGAGUGAUGAAGGCCUUAGGGUUGUAAAGCUCUUUUAUCCGGGACGAUAAUGACGGUACCGGAGGAAUAAGCCCCGGCUAACUUCGUGCCAGCAGCCGCGGUAAUACGAAGGGGGCUAGCGUUGCUCGGAAUCACUGGGCGUAAAGGGCGCGUAGGCGGCGUUUUAAGUCGGGGGUGAAAGCCUGUGGCUCAACCACAGAAUGGCCUUCGAUACUGGGACGCUUGAGUAUGGUAGAGGUUGGUGGAACUGCGAGUGUAGAGGUGAAAUUCGUAGAUAUUCGCAAGAACACCGGUGGCGAAGGCGGCCAACUGGACCAUUACUGACGCUGAGGCGCGAAAGC